UUGAUUUUGCAAAGAUCACAACUGAGAAGACGUAUGCAGAUCGUAGUGAAAAGCGGUAGCAUUUAUUGAACAAUUCUUUUUUUCAAUCGAUUUAUGUUUUUGGUGCUUUUUAGGUUUUAUUUUAGUAUUAGAUACUGAUAGUUCUUGAUCUAAAUCAUGUAGAACGGAACACCGAUCAAGCAAAUACACUAACCGUAUAAGCUCUGAUUAUAAAAACCCAACUUCAUACAAACCGGAUUCAGAGGAAAAGAUGAACUCAGAACAUCCAAGAGGAUUUGAUCUAGUUGGAAUAACAUGCAAAGAUAUGGUAGUCGCAUUGAUGAAUCUGUUUCUCUCGGUCAGAAGUUAUAGUCAAGCGAUCAAAGGAGCAAGGAUAAAAUCUUUUGAUUAAGCAGAUGAUACUGAAAUGAUAAAGUUCUGAAAUUCUGUUAUGGUUUGUACGUAUAGGAGCUGUCCAAGGUUUUAGAUAUAACCAAGAUGAAACUACAGAUCACAAAUUUUACCAACUGGAAUAAAAAACGUUUGGUCUACCAGGACCCACUCAAGAGAAUCUCCUCCAAAACUGGUGCUUUGUUUCCAGGCAUGAAGCAGUUUGAGAGUUACUCGCCAUUCAUCUUUAUUAGAAAACAGAUGGAAUAAGGGAAGACAUUUAUUUAGUCACCUUUUACGUGGGGAGAAAGCUAGAGUCAAAGAAAUGGUAAUAUUUCAUCUGUUAGAUGGGAUAAGAUAUUUUGCGUAUCAAAUUUUUAAUUAGCUUACAUGAUAAGAUUUGAGCUAUAGAUUUACUAAUUUACAUUUUCUAUUCGAUGGGCUAUAGCAUAAACGGGUCUCUUUGGGCCUGAGAAGAAAUUGAUGUCGAUUAUGCUAAGAUGAAAAACGUGAAGUUAUCACUUAUAGUUAUACAUGCUUCCAAACAAAAUGUAAACUCUUUUUUUAAUCUCCUAUCUAAA